GUGUCGGAUUAUGACUGAACGCCUCUAAGUCAGAAUCCACGCUAGAAGCGGUGCAUGUCACUCUUCGACUGUAUCUCGACCCGCAGUAGGGGCGUCGCUUUGUCGCCCCCAGGGGCCCGUGUCAUUUGCAAACCGCGACCGUGAAGCAUCUCGGUCGGGGCAGCUUUGAAGUUCAAUUCCAAACGGUCGUUGAGAAGAAUCCUUUGCAGACGACUUAAAUACGCGACGGGGUAUUGUAAGUGGCAGA
rnacentral:rRNA from 1 species